rnacentral:lncRNA from 1 species
GGGAGAAAGAUGUGUCCGUGUGGGCCUGGGGUAUGAUGAGGAAUGGACACUGGAAUCCACAAUGUAAAGUAGAUAAUAAAAAAGAAUUGUGGGAUUAACUCUCUUCCUAAAGGAAUGAGAACAGCAAACCUGUCGUAGUCGUGGAAGUUAUGUUUUCAAACAAUCUUUAAUUUGAUGGGAUUAAAUAGAAAGAAAAUGGAAUUGUGAAAUUUGCAGGAAAGUGGAUAUUCCUCAAAAGUAUAAGCUAAAAGAAUUCAAACUCAGACAGAAAGCCCUGCACAUCCCCUUGGAUGCGAGUUCCAGUGUGAUGGAUACAUGUUCACGCGGGUCCUGCAGGUGAUGAGAAGGGGAGAACAGAGGCAAAGGGACAUGUCAAAGACCAAAGCAUUCGUGAAGUUGAGGGUGAAUGAAAGAGAAGUAAAAAGGAAAAGAAAGACAUGACGGCUAUACGUACGCUGGAGGAGAAAGUUUGUCAUAGAUAUGUAUACCCAGAGGCAGACACACCAGGGAAGGAAAGGGAGAGAGAAGAGAGGGGAACCAGCUGCAGCAGCCAGAGACCGAAGAUACAAAAAGCAUGCGUAACCAAAAGGUCUGGAUUAUAUAGGGAAGUUCCUCUCAGGGAAG